ensembl:snoRNA
UAGGCCCUGAAUCAAGACUAGUUUGCUGUAGUGGUUGGGUUUCAAACAGGAGACAAGAAUGUGAUAUCUUCCUUUUGUCUGUUGGCUAAUCAGUAUCUGCAGGAAUGGCUAAUUAAUUUGGAAGAAACAUAG